rnacentral:tRNA from 1 species
CCCUGGUGGCUCAGAUGGUAAAGAGUCUGCCUGCAAUGCAGGAGACCCAGGUUCGAUUCCUGGGUCAGGAA